rnacentral:tRNA from 1 species
GGAUGUAGCUUAAUUGGUAGAGUGCUUGCCUUGCAUGCAGGAAGCCCUAGGUUGAAUCCCUAGCACCA